CAGCCCUGCUGUAAACAACUGCGCCAUUUUCACUCAUUGCUUUGUGCCUUCCUGUCCAGCCUCCUGUACCUGCUGCCUUUCCUGAACCAACUUUACAAUGUGGUGUGGCGAACAGCAAUGUGACAAGAUGACAGUGAAGAAUGUAAAAAACCUCCGGGAUGCAGACAUCGAAGGCCGAGAGUGAAGAGCGAAAAAGUGCCACACAUCAUCCCUUUUUUCGUCAUCAUUUUUCCCAUUGUCCAAUCGGAUGAUUUGAGAGGCGGGCCUUCUGUGGUGGUCACGACAACAAGUUUACAGUUGUUAAACAUUGGAGGAGAAACUGGUGGUAG